AGAGUUUGAUCCUGGCUUAGAACGAACGCUGGUGGCGUGUCUAUACAUGCAAGUCGAGCGAGGCAGCAAUGCCGAGCGGCGAACGGGUGAGUAACGCGUAAGCAAUCUGCCCCAUAUCAGGGAAAUACCCGUGCCAACGCGCGGUUAAUGUCCAGGAGAGUGGCCCUCUGCAUGGAGGGUUGACUAGAGAUUUAUCGGUAUGGGAUGAGCUUGCGUCCGAUUAGCUAGUUGGCGGGGCAACGGCCCACCAAGGCGACGAUCGGUAGCCGGCCUGAGAGGGUGAUCGGCCACAUUGGGACUGAGAUACGGCCCAGACUCCUACGGGAGGCAGCAGUAGGGAAUAUUGCACAAUGGGGGAAACCCUGAUGCAGCAACGCCACGUGUUGGGAAGAAGCAUUUCGGUGUGUAAACCACUGUCAUGAGGGAAUAAGGCCCGCCUUCGGACGGACUUGAAUGUACCUUGAGAGGAAGCACCGGCAAACUUCGUGCCAGCAGCCGC
rnacentral:rRNA from 1 species